rnacentral:rRNA from 1 species
AUUCCAAUCGAACCCGGAGAUAGCUGGUUCUCCCCGAAAUAGCUUUAGGGCUAGCCUCAAGCGUAGAGAAACGGAGGUAGAGCACUGAAUGUCCUAGGGGGUAUUGCACUUACCGAAGACUAUCAAACUCCGAAUGCCGUUUUCUUUUACUUGGGAGUCAGACUGUGGGUGAUAAGAUUCAUAGUCAAAAGGGCAACAGCCCAGAUCGUCAGCUAAGGUCCCUAAAUGUACGUUAAGUGGUAAAGGAUGUGGGAUUGCACAGACAACCAGGAUGUUGGCUUAGAAGCAGCCACUCAUUUAAAGAGUGCGUAAUAGCUCACUGGUCGAGUGAUCCUGCGCCGAAAAUUUCCGGGGCUAAAACGUACUACCGAAGCUACGGCAUCAUUUAUGAUGGGUAGGGGAGCUUCGUAUGCAGGCUGAAGCAUGACCGUAAGGACAUGUGGACAGUAUACGAGUGAGAAUGUUGGCAUGAGUAGCGAGACGUGGGUGAGAAUCCCACGGGCCGUAAACCCAAGGUUUCCAGGGGAAGGUUCGUCCGCCCUGGGUUAGUCGGGACCUAAGCCGAGGCCGAAAGGCGUAGGUGAUGGACAACAGGUUGAUAUUCCUGUACCGCCAAUAAGCGUUUGAGAGAUGGAGUGACACAGUAGGAUAAGCUAACCGUACUGUUGGUUAUGUACGGCUAAGCAUUGAGGCAGUCUAAAUAGGCAAAUCCGUUUAGACAAUGCUAGGAUGUGAUGGGGAAGCCCUUCGGGGCGAAGUAGCUGAUUUCACACUGUCAAGAAAAGCUUCUAUCGAGUUUAAAGGCGCCCGUACCGUAAACCGACACAGGUGGGUGAGGAGAGUAUCCUAAGGCCAGCGAGAGAACUAUUGUUAAGGAACUCGGCAAAAUGACCCCGUAACUUAGGGAGAAGGGGUGCCUGUCUAUGACAGGCCGCAGAGAAUAGGCCCAAGCGACUGUUUACCAAAAACACAGGUUUCUGCUAAGUCGCAAGACGAUGUAUAGGAGCUGACGCCUGCCCGGUGCUGGAAGGUUAAGGGGAUCUGUUAGAGCAAUCGAAGCAGUGAACUUAAGCCCCAGUAAACGGCGGCCGUAACUAUAACGGUCCUAAGGUAGCGAAAUUCCUUGUCGGGUAAGUUCCGACCCGCACGAAAGGCGUAACGAUUUGGGCACUGUCUCAACAAUAGACUCGGUGAAAUUGUAAUCCCGGUGAAGAUGCCGGGUACCUGCGACAGGACGGAAAGACCCCAUGGAGCUUUACUGUAGCUUGACGUUGGGUCUUGGUACUACAUGUACAGGAUAGGUGGGAGACUAUGAAGCAUGGACGCCAGUCUGUGUGGAGUCAUCCUUGGGAUACCACCCUUGUAGUACUGGGAUCCUAACCAUAGGCCUUGAAUCAGGUCUUGGAACACCGUCAGGUGGGCAGUUUGACUGGGGCGGUCGCCUCCUAAAAAGUAACGGAGGCGCUCAAAGGUUUCCUCAGCACGGUCGGAAAUCGUGCGAAGAGUGUAAAGGCAAAAGGAAGCUUGAUUGCAAGACAUACAGGUCGAGCAAGGACGAAAGUCGGACUUAGUGAUCCGGUGGUACCGCAUGGAAGGGCCAUCGCUCAACGGAUAAAAGCUACCCUGGGGAUAACAGGCUUAUCUCCCCCAAGAGUCCACAUCGACGGGGAGGUUUGGCACCUCGAUGUCGGCUCAUCACAUCCUGGGGCUGUAUUCGGUCCCAAGGGUUCGGCUGUUCGCCGAUUAAAGUGGUACGCGAGCUGGGUUCAGAACGUCGUGAGACAGUUCGGUCCCUAUCCAUCGCGGGCGUAAGAAACUUGAAAGGGGCUGCUCCUAGUACGAGAGGACCGGAGUGGACCGACCAAUGGUGUACCAGUCAUGGCGCCAGCCGUGCAGCUGGGUAGCUACGUCGGGGACGGAUAAACGCUGAAAGCAUCUAAGCGUGAAACCAGCCUAGAGAUGAGGUUUCUCAUUACAUUAGUAAGUAAGGUCCCACAAAGACGAUGUGGUUGAUAGGCCGGGAGUGGAAGUACAGCGAUGUACGGAGCGGACCGGUACUAAUAGACCGAGGACUUGACUUA